UGGGGGCACACCCAUCGCUGAGAGGUGUGAGAUCAUUGUGAAACCUUGGAACAAUGACUGGGAGAAUUCUUACGGUUGGGACAGGACUGUUCGGCUUGCUACUCUGCCUUGGCACAUUUAACAGCUACUUGAAGUCUAAAAUGAUGUGGAUAAUGAUCAGCUACUUGCUCCAGGAAAUAAGGCACCACAGAAGGGUACCAGUCUGUUCCAGUUUGCCAUGAUGGGACACUUUGGAAAGUGCAACAACAAAGACUUGCGAAGGAGGAAAAAGGACUCCAGACAAAACACUGACGACAUCGAUGUGACAUUUGAGGACUAAGGGCGUGCACGUGAAAGUUUGCAGUCACCCGUCGAACACGUUCCCGUCCGCCAGGGAUCCAAACGAGGUGACAUCAAGGAAAUAAUGAAUGAGUGGGAGGAGGUAGAGUAACACCUGUAUAUUUACUGUAUUGUUUUCACCACACACUGUAAGGUGAAUUUAAUCUGUCAUUCAGUAGAAAUUCUGGCAACCACAAGUAUUCUAAAAGGCAUUUGAGUCAUAAACAUCCCGCAGAUGCUUUGACAACUGCAAAGCUUUACACACAUCAACCAUCCCUCCCUUUUGUGCAAAAUACUGAAUAAAAACUCCUGUCUGCUGAUGCAUGUGGUCAUUAGGAAGCACGAGGUCCCGCAGCGCAGGGAGGCAUCUUUCAAUCUGCUGUGGCUACGUUUGUUGUCGAGAUGCCCUUCAAAACAAGCGUCCAGCAGCUGCUUGGAGACCAGCCAGUCUGACCGCUCUCCUUGUGAGAGACUUCAAAAUGCAAUCUCGUAAACAAGCUAACGUCUCAUAGCGCAACGCUCCUAGCGGGAUGCCUCUACAGUGGUACCACAGGCCAUGCCAGCACUCGCCGCAAACAAGAGUGGAAGACAAACAACCACUGAACUGAGGAAGCCUUUUGGAUUCACGUCUUCAAACACCGAGAAGGUGUCUAGUUACCUUUGAUUAAACUUUUGUAGAGCUUUUUUUCCUAAAUACAAGUGGCAGCUGAAGGUUAAUGUCAACAUGUCUGCUAUCAGUUUAAGUCAAGACAUCUACAAAGUUGUGAUGUGAUCCUAAAAAUGUGAAAUAGUUAUUGUGCUCACAUGUUGAUGGCGCAACCAAACGACACAGCUACCCACUGAUUGGCUGGUUAUACGUCACGUUUCACCAGGAAGGAUUCUGAUAUCGGUUGAGCAAUGUUGGCGUUACUGGCGUAUGCAUUUCAUUUAUUUACUCGCAGGGCUCAACUGAACUGAAUUCCCCUAUAUUGCUCCUGAUGAUAUACUGUGCAGAGCUCCAUGUUUAAAACUUUGAGUUCUAAUGGAAGUUAUAGUAACAAACAGACUAGAAUUCAUGCAGGGGCAUUAAGAAGAGGCUCACACAGACUGUAAGUUACCGUCAAAGUCAUCACCUACAAUGUCCACUUUAGAUUUGCGUUGACUUUGGGAGUAAACAACACGGUUUUUAACAGGUGGCGUGGGCGCAAGAAUCACGACACUCAACACAUUAAUAGCCUCACAAGUCGUCCUUUCAGGAGAGGAAACUAACAGGUGCGGCGUUAGGAGCCGCACGACAGCGCAAGCUAGCGGCCAUAAAUCUUCGCAGAGCCCCCCAUCCCCCGCAAACCCUCACCCAACACUGUCACUCUGCCUUCAGCAGAUUUGGAGUCGGCUCGGCAGCUGACACGGCCGCUCCUCGCUAUCUAACUUGAAAAGUCCUCGCUACCAAUGACUUCCAGAACUUGUGUGACUAAGAAUGUUACUGUUGCACUUCUGCCACCAACAAGUACCCAAAACAAAAAGGUAAACCGAAAAAUAGCCAAUGAAAGAGACAAUUUGUCUUGAAUGAAAGACUUUUGAGACAAUGAAAUAUAGUCUUACAGGGUCGCAAUCAGUUGCUCUUACCGUGAAACAGAACGAUGACGCCUUCAGAACCAAGCACACAAAGUGUCUUGACUCUGGAUUGAGGCAGUUAAUUAAAGAAAGAGCUGCAGGGGCCUGAGAGGAGAAGCUAGAUAGUCCAGGUCAAAGAUGGCAGAUAGAGUCCUGGAGAGAAAGAAGGUCGAAGUCGGAGGAGCACACGAGUCGUCGCUCCAAGUGACAACUGUUUCUGGAACACACACACACACACACACACACACACACACACACACACACACACACACACACACACACACACACACACACACACACACACACACACUGGACACCCCAAACUACCCUGCUCACUGGACACCCUACAGCCCCCACCCAACACCUCACACUCAUGCCCUCAGUCCCCCCCUCCCCCUACCAUCACCCUUUGCAUGCCUGCAGCAACUGCCACCAAUUCGUCAGCGUCCAUUUUGGCAACUGACAUGAUCUUUUAUGUACUUUUGCCCAUCCAAACAGCCGUAUUCCAUUUUAUAAGUCGACUUUAUCACUUCCUGUUUGAAACAAUGUCAAUAUACUUUAUUUUGGGAAUAUGUUUGAGCAUUUACCAAGCCAUAUUGUUUAAGCUGAUUGGUGUGUGGGUGAAAAAACACAUGAAAAAUCCUCCAUGGCAGUUAUUGUGUACAGUCGUGUACACAGUCGCGUGUACGUGUGUGUCAGAUCCUUGUGUGUGUUGGAUCAGAAGCUGCAACUGGACCCUCAAAGCCCACCCUGCCUGACACCAACGCACACACGCACACACACACAGCUAUGCUUAUGAGGACAUCUGACAGCAUAAAGCAAAGUGUUACCUUUAAAUGAAAUCUUAAUUCUUUAAUUUAGCGAGGUCGCAAAAUGUUCUUACUUGGAUGAUUAGACGUCAAGGAUAGAGUAUACAGAUAUUCACACACGCAAACACACAGUGUAUAUUUGUCAGCAUAAAGCAACAAACCUUGCCUUUAAAUUAGGGCGGCACAAUCCUGGAGAAAAAUGUGAAUCGCUACGUGCUUAAAUUUUAAAGACAUUACACAGUGUUAAAAAAAUAUAAAAAUUGUUUUAAUGUCAUUAUUAUUAGACUCGUCAUUGUCUUAUUCUGCUUUAAAGAAACUUUGAGUGGUCCAGUGACUGCUCCUCUUGCAAGAUGAUGAAGGGCAGUCAGUGGCAUCUGCCGUCAGCGAGUACAAUCAGGCCAGCAAAGCCAACUUGCCCUGAGAACAGUGGUUCAACUGGUGUGGCUGCCUGACUCACCAUCACCCUCAAUGACAAGCAGUGGCCCAAUUUGCAGAAUUUUGCAACUCAUACUUCUCGAAUAUCUUAUAUUUUUAAAGGGCUGUUUUCCAGCAGAUAUCUGCUGCUGUGUGUCGCACAAAUGGCACGUUAACUCCCAACUCUAUGUCCUCAAAACAUAGUAUGCAACCCGUGGCGGCGUAGCAAACGAAUAGCUUUGACAAGAAUGCGAGGUGCUUUCACGGACAUCGGGCCAUUACAUUAUUUUUUUUAGCCCAGGCAUUGACCCACCAACCGCUUUUGGGUCCCAACCGACCAAUUGAGAAUCCCUGAUGUAUAUAGAUCGCAUGACUCAAGAACUGCAAUUAUUUUGAAUUUUUUGCACAGCCCUACUUCCAAUGGUAUAAGGUAUUAAAUCUUCAAUGUCUCUAUGUCCUCACUUUGAUGCUUUGAAAGUCACAGUCCCCACAAAGACAGCUGGACACAAACACACACACUCACAUGCUCAGCUGUUGGAGGGUUCGACACACUGAUGAUGUCUCGUGCCACUCGGCCUAGCGACAUAGCAUGUUCCGUUUUAAGACUCCUUGCCGUUCAAACGUCACGCCGCUGCCACGAUGGCCGCCACUGAAGGCUCAAUGGAGGAGGAGGACUGUAAAAGGAGCGGCCAAGUGUGUGUGACCGACAGCGGCUCCGCUUCCCAAGGAACGGCUCUCAGCCCGUGCCCUUUCUUGACCUUGAAAUCUCCGAGGGGGCCCGGAGGGUGUGGGAAAUGGGAGGCCAGGAGUCUGCUAAACAGUUGUGUCAUUGAAUUUCCACUCAACACAGCGAAUGUCCAAAGGGGUGCAGGCACGUCUGUGCCAGCAGCCCGGUCGGGGCUGCAGGGGGACAAAUUCCGAGAGGCAGUUCUGUCUGGAAGCAAUAACUAAUAUGGAUAAAUCAAACUGAGAAACGCCUGUCGGAAAGCAGCCAAAAAUGUGCCCAAUAAUGAGAAAAAUAUACAGCAGCGCUAAAGAAAACAAAGCCCGACUGAGUGUGUGAUUAGAGGCAGGCUCGCUAUCAAGCGGCGGCCUUAUCUUGCCGCCCCUUCCCCAGGUUGCUCCCCGCUCACCAUCCACGUUUGCGGGACAUGUGCGAGCCGUCUGGUCUUCCUGCGUGUCCAACACAGUGUUGGCCCUCAGCCCAAAAGGAGGCUCUGUGAUCCUUCCUCCGCUCUCUCCGAGCCAAACAGGCCAGGACUGCCAGGUUCUGGCUGCAUGCAGUAGGGGAGCAGCAGGGAGGUGGGGGAGGCAGCAACACUUUUUCUUCUCGAACACAGCGGUGAGAAGAAGCAGCACUUGGCCUCCAGGCGAGUGUAUUUAUGUUGAAAGGCGAGCAACACUUCUCACGAUGACAUCCAACAUCCAUCAGUAGAGCUGCCCGCAAACAUUCGUCCACCAUGUUUGUUUGUAGCGUCACACAGAAGAAGCAGCUUAUUUGCAGCGAACGGCUAAUAGGUGUGUCAAUGAACAUGAUGCAGUGAAUAGCAGCAUUAUGCAAAUCCACCUCCCUCUUGAGGAUGAGCGCAAAACAUGACAAAGCUAUCCUCUGGUGUGGCCUGCAUGUUGGCGCUUCUCUCAUGUGACCUACAUUGUGUUGGAAUUCUUCACAUCGUUGUCACACUUUUGACAAACCUUGCAGCAUAACAAAAGCUCUAAAAAGGAACAUUUUCCAGCAAAAGCGUGAGAAGCAAACUGAAUCUUUGAACUUUUUUCCUAAAAACACCUAAAAAAAAGUCAUACUCAAAUAGAAAAUAGGAGUUUGAAUACACUUUUUUUUUUUUUUUUUUUUUAGGCUGGGCCAAUAUUAUUUCGAAAACAAAUAACUAUCGGACUAUACUUAAUUCUAGGGCCCUAUGAUUUCUGCGGAAUCACGGACAGACUCGUGGAAUUAGCCAAUAAAAACCAAAUCUUCUGUUAACGCGGAAUCUUGCAGAAACUGACAUAAUGUGAAUGGAAUGCUGUUAUUGUGAGAAGAAGGAACGUUUGUGUUGGGAAGUAUUUCCCCGGCGAACCGCUCAAUUGUGGAGGAAUCUCAUCACAAACACUAACCUUCCCACUCCCAAACUAAACAUGUUGAAACGGCGACCUGAAACACCGGAAAAAGUUGGUGAAAAAUGUUUUUAACUCCACUCGUAUGGGGCGUGAAUGAAAGCUGCGGGGUUAGCUUAGUUUAGCAGAGCAUUGUCAUGCGACUCGGACUGUAUGAGUGGGUUUACUCUGUGUUGUGUUUUACCGCUUGUUAAUGCAAUUGAGCAUUUUACGAUGCCCGCUGACGUUGUGCAAGUGCUGAGUGAAGUUAGGACGAGAGGCACAUUUAUUCUUGCUCCCAGCUCGUCUUAACACUUCCAAACUUUAAAAUAAGAGCGCUGUUCGCCACAUUCUGUCUAAUUCUAACAAAAUAAAAAGGUGCCAUAAAAAAAUACCUUACAUUACUAAAGCAAUUGGAAUUGCAUUGGCGACUACAUCUUCCUUAACCGCAAGCACAGGCAUUACAGUUUGUAGAGGAUUUUGUAGCAAUGUCUGCAGAGGAUGACAUCCCAUUAGUUUCUGAAAUAGUGGACAAAACUGACCAAUGAUGAGUACACACUCUAUGCUGGUAAAAGAAGUGAAAAAGGUAAAAAACAGAAUUAAAACAAUUAAAACGGUAAAAACAGAA